rnacentral:rRNA from 1 species
CUCUAGUGACCGAUAGUGAACCAGUACCGUGAGGGAAAGGUGAAAAGCACCCCGGAAGGGGAGUGAAAUAGAACCUGAAACCGUGUGCUUACAAGUAGUCAGAGCCCGUUAAUGGGUGAUGGCGUGCCUUUUGUAGAAUGAACCGGCGAGUUACGAUUUGAUGCAAGGUUAAGCAGUAAAUGUGGAGCCGUAGCGAAAGCGAGUCUGAAUAGGGCGUUUAGUAUUUGGUCGUAGACCCGAAACCAGGUGAUCUACCCUUGGUCAGGUUGAAGUUCAGGUAACACUGAAUGGAGGACCGAACCGACUUACGUUGAAAAGUGAGCGGAUGAACUGAGGGUAGCGGAGAAAUUCCAAUCGAACCUGGAGAUAGCUGGUUCUCUCCGAAAUAGCUUUAGGGCUAGCCUCAAGUGAUGAUUAUUGGAGGUAGAGCACUGUUUGGACGAGGGGCCCCUCUCGGGUUACCGAAUUCAGACAAACUCCGAAUGCCAAUUAAUUUAACUUGGGAGUCAGAACAUGGGUGAUAAGGUCCGUGUUCGAAAGGGAAACAGCCCAGACCACCAGCUAAGGUCCCAAAAUAUAUGUUAAGUGGAAAAGGAUGUGGCGUUGCCCAGACAACUAGGAUGUUGGCUUAGAAGCAGCCAUCAUUUAAAGAGUGCGUAAUAGCUCACUAGUCGAGUGACACUGCGCCGAAAAUGUACCGGGGCUAAACAUAUUACCGAAGCUGUGGAUUGUCCUUUGGACAAUGGUAGGAGAGCGUUCUAAGGGCGUUGAAGCAUGAUCGUAAGGACAUGUGGAGCGCUUAGAAGUGAGAAUGCCGGUGUGAGUAGCGAAAGACGGGUGAGAAUCCCGUCCACCGAUUGACUAAGGUUUCCAGAGGAAGGCUCGUCCGCUCUGGGUUAGUCGGGUCCUAAGCUGAGGCCGACAGGCGUAGGCGAUGGAUAACAGGUUGAUAUUCCUGUACCACCUAUAAUCGUUUUAAUCGAUGGGGGGACGCAGUAGGAUAGGCGAAGCGUGCGAUUGGAUUGCACGUCUAAGCAGUAAGGCUGAGUAUUAGGCAAAUCCGGUACUCAUUAAGGCUGAGCUGUGAUGGGGAGAAGACAUUGUGUCUUCGAGUCGUUGAUUUCACACUGCCGAGAAAAGCCUCUAGAUAGAAAAUAGGUGCCCGUACCGCAAACCGACACAGGUAGUCAAGAUGAGAAUUCUAAGGUGAGCGAGCGAACUCUCGUUAAGGAACUCGGCAAAAUGACCCCGUAACUUCGGGAGAAGGGGUGCUCUUUAGGGUUAACGCCCAGAAGAGCCGCAGUGAAUAGGCCCAAGCGACUGUUUAUCAAAAACACAGGUCUCUGCUAAACCGUAAGGUGAUGUAUAGGGGCUGACGCCUGCCCGGUGCUGGAAGGUUAAGAGGAGUGGUUAGCUUCUGCGAAGCUACGAAUCGAAGCCCCAGUAAACGGCGGCCGUAACUAUAACGGUCCUAAGGUAGCGAAAUUCCUUGUCGGGUAAGUUCCGACCCGCACGAAAGGCGUAACGAUUUGGGCACUGUCUCAACGAGAGACUCGGUGAAAUCAUAGUACCUGUGAAGAUGCAGGUUACCCGCGACAGGACGGAAAGACCCCGUGGAGCUUUACUGUAGCCUGAUAUUGAAAUUCGGCACAGCUUGUACAGGAUAGGUAGGAGCCUUUGAAACGUGAGCGCUAGCUUACGUGGAGGCGCUGGUGGGAUACUACCCUAGCUGUGUUGGCUUUCUAACCCGCACCACUUAUCGUGGUGGGAGACAGUGUCAGGCGGGCAGUUUGACUGGGGCGGUCGCCUCCUAAAAGGUAACGGAGGCGCUCAAAGGUUCCCUCAGAAUGGUUGGAAAUCAUUCAUAGAGUGUAAAGGCAUAAGGGAGCUUGACUGCGAGACCUACAAGUCGAGCAGGGUCGAAAGACGGACUUAGUGAUCCGGUGGUUCCGCAUGGAAGGGCCAUCGCUCAACGGAUAAAAGCUACCCCGGGGAUAACAGGCUUAUCUCCCCCAAGAGUUCACAUCGACGGGGAGGUUUGGCACCUCGAUGUCGGCUCAUCGCAUCCUGGGGCUGUAGUCGGUCCCAAGGGUUGGGCUGUUCGCCCAUUAAAGCGGUACGCGAGCUGGGUUCAGAACGUCGUGAGACAGUUCGGUCCCUAUCCGUCGUGGGCGUAGGAAAUUUGAGAGGAGCUGUCCUUAGUACGAGAGGACCGGGAUGGACAUACCUCUGGUGUACCAGUUGUCGUGCCAACGGCAUAGCUGGGUAGCUAUGUGUGGACGGGAUAAGUGCUGAAAGCAUCUAAGCAUGAAGCCCCCCUCAAGAUGAGAUUUCCCAACUUCGGUUAUAAGAUCCCUCAAAGAUGAUGAGGUUAAUAGGUUCGAGGUGGAAGCAUGGUGACAUGUGGAGCUGACGAAUACUAA